UCUCCGUAGGUGAACCUGCGGAGGGAUCAUUACAGAGUUCAUGCCCUACCGGGUAGAUCUCCCACCCUAUGUUAUUAUUACUUUGUUGCUUUGGCGGGCCGUUAGGCUCCGGCCCGACUACCGGCCCCAGCUGGUAAGCGCCCGCCAGAGGACCCAAAACCCUGAAUAUUAGUGUCGUCUGAGUACUAUAUAAUAGUUAAAACUUUCAACAACGGAUCUCUUGGUUCUGUCAUCGAUGAAGAACGCAGC
rnacentral:misc_RNA from 1 species